AGAGUUUGAUCAUGGCUCAGAAUGAACGUUGGCGGCGUGGAUUAGGCAUGCAAGUCGCGCGAUAAAUUACCUUCGGGUGAUGGAAAGCGGCGAAAGGGAGAGUAACACGCGGGUACCUACCCUCAGGACCGGGAUAGCUGCGGGAAACUGCAAUUAAUACCGGAUGAUGUCUCCGGACCAAAGGUGUGAUUCCGCCGGAGGAGGGGCCCACGUCCUAUCAGCUAGUUGGCGAGGUAAUAGCUCACCAAGGCUACGACGGGUACGGGGUGUGAGAGCAUGCCCCCGCUCACUGGGACUGAGACACUGCCCAGACACCUACGGGUGGCUGCAGUCGAGAAUCUUCCGCAAUGGGCGAAAGCCUGACGGAGCGACGCCGCGUGCGGGAUGAAGGCCUUCGGGUUGUAAACCGCUGUCAGUGGGGAGGAAAUGCACGGGGGUUCUCCCUUGUGCUUGACCGAUCCGCAGAGGAAGCACAGGCUAAGUUCGUGCCAGCAGCCGCGGUAACACGAACUGUGCAAACGUUAUUCGGAAUCACUGGGCUUAAAGAGUUCGUAGGCGGCACGUUAAGUCGGGUGUGAAAUCCCUCGGCUCAACCGAGGAAUUGCGUCCGAAACUGGCGUGCUUGAGUAAGAUAGAGGUGAGCGGAACUGAUGGUGGAGCGGUGAAAUGCGUUGAUAUCAUCAGGAACACCGGUGGCGAAAGC
rnacentral:rRNA from 1 species